rnacentral:rRNA from 1 species
GAUGAACGCUAGCGGCAGGCUUAACACAUGCAAGUCGAGGGGUAUAGGUUUUCGGACCUAGAGACCGGCGCACGGGUGCGUAACGCGUAUGCAAUCUACCUUUCACAGAGGGAUAGCCCAGAGAAAUUUGGAUUAAUACCUCAUAGUAUAGCAGUUUCGCAUGAAACCACUAUUAAAGUUCCAACGGUGAAAGAUGAGCAUGCGUCCCAUUAGCUAGAUGGUAAGGUAACGGCUUACCAUGGCUACGAUGGGUAGGGGUCCUGAGAGGGGGAUCCCCCACACUGGAGCUGAGACACGGACCAGACUCCUACGGGAGGCAGCAGUGAGGAAUAUUGGUCAAUGGACGCAAGUCUGAACCAGCCAUGCCGCGUGCAGGAUGACGGUCCUAUGGAUUGUAAACUGCUUUUGUACGAGAAGAAACAUCCCGACGUGUCGGGACUUGACGGUAUCGUAAGAAUAAGGAUCGGCUAACUCCGUGCCAGCCGCCGCAGUAAUAC